rnacentral:rRNA from 1 species
CUCCCGCCGGCGACCGGCGCACGGGUGAGUAACACGUAUGAAACCUGCCCGUAGCAGGGGGAUAAGCGGAAGAAAUUCCGUCUAAUACCGCGUAAUAUCUUUCGGGGGCAUCCCUGAGGGAUUAAAGGAAGUGAUUCCGGCUACGGAUGGGCAUGCGGCGCAUUAGCUAGUCGGCGGGGUAACGGCCCACCGAGGCGACGAUGCGUAGGGGUUCUGAGAGGAAGGUCCCCCACACUGGUACUGAGACACGGACCAGACUCCUACGGAAGGCAGCAG